CAAUAUAUAAAACAAAACUCUCUCUGGUGUGGUUCUCAUUUACAGAUUCUCCACCUUCCUUUCCUUGAAGCCAGUCACAGACGCUGCAAUGGGAAACAAAAUGAUCUGGGUUCUGGCCAUUUUGACCAUUGUAGGGCUCAGCAAUGCCUUGCAGCCUUCAGGACAAUGCAAUGUUCCAGCAAGAUCAAGAGAAAAUUGUGGCUACCCAGGCAUUGGUGAAAUUGAAUGUGGUGCAAGGCAAUGUUGCUUUGAUUCAAACGUGGUUGAUGCCCCCUGGUGCUUCAAACCCAUUUCAAUAGAAGAGUGUGUGUUAUAAGGAAGGGAUUCAGUGAUAGUAGGAACCACUUCUCUACACGAAGAAGGUGUGCACAAGUCACUUCAUCACCAUGAACCUGUUUCUUGACAAUGUUGGCAACUGAAAUCCUGCAGAAUUCUGAGACGAAUUGAACCACUUAAACCAUGCUAUAGAUUACUUCUUCUGAUUCUUUCCCCCCUACUAUUCAGCCCUUUACUCCUUCCUGAAGCAAUAAAUCUAAGCAAAAGUGUGUUGCGUCCUUAA